rnacentral:tRNA from 1 species
GGCACCAUGGUGUAGUGGUUUUCACAUCUGCCUAACACGCAGAAGUUAUCCAAUUCGAGCCUGGGUGGUGUCC